GAGAAGAAAACGAAUAAAUCAGUUCUGUUUAGACCAUCAAUUUAAAAGGUUUACUUUUCUUGUGCUAGCCAAAUCCGAAACCAAGAACUUUUCAGUGGCGACGUGGAUGAAAUUGAAUUAUAAAGCAGUGAAUUCUAGUAAUCAUAAGUGCAUUUUUUUCUAUUUUUUUUCUGUACAUAGUAAGUUAAGACUGUACAUACAUUAGUUAGUGAAUUUUUUAAUAUCGGCCAUUUUACGCUACUCGCCAACCCUGCAUGCCUUAGGGCACUUGAGUGAUCGUAGAGGAACGCUGCGGAAAAGGAUCAGUAUCAGCAUCCAGCGAUAACCAUCACCCGAUCGAGACGUCGAGAGAGAUUGCGAUCUUUUGUCUCCGUUCACAUCGUUCAAGCGUAGCUGAGAAGUGAUAAGUGAGUUAACGCAGAGUAAACAAACCACAUAGUAGAGAGAGCUGAAAGUGCAUCGAAGCGUUUAUUUUCGGCGCUACGUUCAUUGAACUCUGGUGCAUCGGUAGGCUGGUGAAUCUAGUGCGAUCAUCGAUAGCUGCUGUUUUGGUUGAUUUUGGUGGAUUCGGUUUGCUGCGGACGGAGUUUUUAGUGCUGUAUACUGCUGGCUGUUGUUGUUACCCUUUCCAUUCAGACGAUCACGUUGAGCUGCUGCUGUUGUUAGGAGUGUUUAUCCCUGCUUCGUGUGGAAUUGUUCGGGAGAAGACGUGUCCUAUCCGGGACAACAUAGUGGUUAAAGGAUUACCAAUUUACUAAGUAACAACGAUAACAGAUUUCUCUGGGCGGCAGAAUCAUUUUGGCGCAUAAACGCCAGUUGAAACUGCCACAGUUGCAACGCGCUCGCCGAAAGAAGAUUUACCUUACCAGCGGAGAAAGCGCUCCAGGUAAAGAAAGAAGUAGCUGUUCGAAAAGAAAAAGGGAGGAUGAGGAUUCCGACGAAGACGAUUUCUACGGUUUCCCCGCGGAUUCUUUUCUCUUUCUAGACCAGCGAAGUGAGAAUGAUGA